GACGAACGCUGGAGGCGUGCUUAACACAUGCAAGUCGAACGAUGAAAUGGAGCUUGCUCCAUGGAUUAGUGGCGAACGGGUGAGUAACACGUGAAUAACCUGCCCUUAAUUUUGGGAUAACCCAGGGAAACCUGGGCUAAUACCGGAUAAGUAAACCUGUGGCAUCACAUGGUUUUGGAAAGUCUUUCGAUUAAGGAUGGAUUCGCGGCCUAUUAGCUUGUUGGUGAGGUAUUGGCUCACCAAGGCGACGACGGGUAGCCGGCCUGAGAGGGUGAACGGCCACACUGGGACUGAGACACGGCCCAGACUCCUACGGGAGGCAGCAGUGGGGAAUAUUGCGCAAUGGACGAAAGUCUGACGCAGCGACGCCUCGUGAGGGACGAAGGUCUUCGGAUUGUAAACCUCUUUCAGCAGGGACGAAGCGAAAGUGACGGUACCUGCAGAAGAAGCACCGGCUGACUAUGUGCCAGCAGCCGCAGUAA
rnacentral:rRNA from 1 species